GGAGUUUUAAAAAAUUAUCUUUAGCACAUACGGUUUGGCCUCUGGAAAGCUAUUAACUAAGGCAAUUCAAAUUCCAGCCCCCAGUAGCCUGCUGUAAAUCAGAGCAUUUGGAUAUUGGGUGGGUAAGACUUGACAAGGCAAACAGCGAAAGCCUCCAAUAUCUUGCUCCUUAGUUGCUGUGGGAGGUUUUAAGCCAUGAAUUUUGCUGGAAGCAAUGGAAAUAACAUCCAAUUCCUGUUUGUGGGCCAUGUCCACUGGAAAAGCAUUGUGCUAAAGGGGCAGACAGGAGAGAUUUAUGAUAUAGUCCUCUAUUUUAAGGAUCUUAGAGCAGGAAAAACCAUUGAAGGUGAAACUUUCCUUUAACUUGUAAUAUGGAUGUUUCAUGAAACAGAGAUAGCAUUGGAUGGAACAAUUAAAGAAUGUGAUACUUGAACCGGUUUUUUUUUUUUUUUUUUUUUUUUUUUUUUUUUUUUUUUUUUUUUUGAGACAGUCUCACUCUGUUGCCCAGCCUGGAUUGCAGUGACAUGAUCACAGCUCACUACAACCUCAACCUCCCUGGGAUCAAGCUAUCCUCCCAUCUUAGCUUCCCAAGUCAUUGGGACUACAGGGAAUGUGCCGCUGUGCCCAGCCAAACUGGAUCUUCAGUAUGUUUAUGUAACUUUCCGGGAGCAGAGUGUUUUCAGCUUUGGAGCUUCAAUCGAACUUUUGAGACAAGAAGAGGAAAGACAAGAAAAGUGUCUUCUUCACAAUUUUAUUAUUUUGGUGUCAAAGAUUCCAGUUGAUUAUCCCUUUCUAUCUCCAAAGUCUGGCAAACCCUACUUACCUCCCCAACUGCUUUCGAAAGCAUAAACAAAAUAAAAUAACAUCAUCAAAGAUUCCAGAAGAUUGGGAAAGGUGUGGAAGGUAGUGAUUAAAGUAUAGUUGUAAGGGCCCUUUGACAUCAAUUUUAUUCUCUCAGGGGGCUUAAAGUGUUUCUUUUCUGCUUCCUUUACUACAAAGAUAUUUCACUCAAACUCUAUCUUGUUAUAGACUCUUGAAAACUGGGGAUAUGGUUUCUAGCCUUGUAAUUUGUGUAAUAAAAUGUCAGUCAUAAAAACCACUGGGAAUCUGGGACAUUUGUAAUGAUUGGGCUGUCGUUAAAAUACAUGAUUGCUCAAAGGUAUGGCUUAACCCAGGAAAACACAAACCACAAUAAAAGGUCACAUGGAAGAUACAGGCAUGGGCAGGCAUCACUUGGUGGCAAGCAACAGAAAUCCCUUAAGAAAGCGCGAGUGAAAAGCAAUUUAUUUCAGGGGACUCUGAUGGUAUUUUGAAGAAGGUAUAACUCCUGGAACUGGAAAGCUUUGAGAUACUUAUCUCUCUCUCUCUCUCUGUCUCUGCCUCUCUCUUUCUCUCUGCCUCUCUCUG
rnacentral:lncRNA from 1 species